GACGAACGCUGGCGGCGUGCUUAACACAUGCAAGUCGAACGGUAAGGCUCCAGCUUGCUGGGGUACACGAGUGGCGAACGGGUGAGUAACACGUGGGUGACCUGCCCUGCACUUCGGGAUAAGCCUGGGAAACUGGGUCUAAUACCGGAUAGGACUGCACCGUGAGGGUGUGGUGGAAAGUUUUUUCGGUGUGGGAUGGGCCCGCGGCCUAUCAGCUUGUUGGUGGGGUAAUGGCCUACCAAGGCGGCGACGGGUAGCCGGCCUGAGAGGGUGGACGGCCACAUUGGGACUGAGACACGGCCCAGACUCCUACGGGAGGCAGCAGUGGGGAAUAUUGCACAAUGGGCGGAAGCCUGAUGCAGCGACGCCGCGUGGGGGAUGACGGCCUUCGGGUUGUAAACUCCUUUCACCAUCGACGAAGGGUUUCUGACGGUAGAUGGAGAAGAAGCACCGGCUAACUACGUGCCAGCAGCCGCGGUAAUACGUAGGGUGCGAGCGUUGUCCGGAAUUACUGGGCGUAAAGAGCUCGUAGGUGGUUUGUCGCGUCGUCUGUGAAAUUCCGGGGCUUAACUCCGGGCGUGCAGGCGAUACGGGCAUAACUUGAGUACUGUAGGGGAGACUGGAAUUCCUGGUGUAGCGGUGAAAUGCGCAGAUAUCAGGAGGAACACCGGUGGCGAAGGCGGGUCUCUGGGCAGUAACUGACGCUGAGGAGCGAAAGCAUGGGGAGCGAACAGGAUUAGAUACCCUGGUAGUCCAUGCCGUAAACGGUGGGCGCUAGGUGUGGGUUUCCUUCCACGGGAUCCGUGCCGUAGCUAACGCAUUAAGCGCCCCGCCUGGGGAGUACGGCCGCAAGGCUAAAACUCAAAGGAAUUGACGGGGGCCCGCACAAGCGGCGGAGCAUGUGGAUUAAUUCGAUGCAACGCGAAGAACCUUACCUGGGCUUGACAUAUACAGGAUCGCGCCAGAGAUGGUGUUUCCCUUGUGGCUUGUAUACAGGUGGCGCAUGGUUGUCGUCAGCUCGUGUCGUGAGAUGUUGGGUUAAGUCCCGCAACGAGCGCAACCCUUGUCUUAUGUUGCCAGCACGUUGUGGUGGGGACUCGUAAGAAACUGCCGGGGUUAACUCGGAGGAAGGUGGGGAUGACGUCAAAUCAUCAUGCCCCUUAUGUCCAGGGCUUCACACAUGCUACAAUGGUCGGUACAGUGGGUUGCCAGUCCGUGAGGGCGAGCUAAUCCCGCAAAGCCGGUCUCAGUUCGGAUCGGGGUCUGCAACUCGACCCCGUGAAGUCGGAGUCGCUAGUAAUCGCAGAUCAGCAACGCUGCGGUGAAUACGUUCCCGGGCCU
rnacentral:rRNA from 1 species